rnacentral:rRNA from 1 species
AUGGCGUUGCAGACAUUUGCAUCAAGAGCCAACUUGGUGUACAACAACAGCACUGGCACGGCCAUCCCAGAAUACAUGGACGCGACGCCCAUUACACGAUCGGAACCAUACAUCCCCGACCUUCCAGUAAGCCACAACAUAACUACGGCAACAGAGUAUACAUCCCAGCUUCGGUCCAUAGCCAGCAAGGACCGCCCGGUGGAUGCGCCGACACAUGUCGACGAGCACAUGCUCAUCACCUUAGCCACAAAUAUUCUCCCAUGUCAAUCAUGUGAAAAUGGCAACCGCCUCGCGGCAAGCCUCAACAAUGUCAGUUUUGACAACCCCCAAACCGAUAUCCUCGACGCGUACUAUUACUCCAUCAUGGGCGUCUUCGACAAAGACUUCCCCAAAAAACCACCAUUCUUCUUCAACUUCACCAACUACAACUAUUCCAAGGAGUUCAGGCUCACAAAGGCUGGCACCAAGGUGAAAAAGAAAAAAUAUGGCUCCGCCGUGGAGGUGGUGUUCCAGGACACGGCCAUGAGCAACGAGACCCAUCCCAUGCACCUGCAUGGCUUUGCCUUUUAUUUUGUAGGGAGGGGCGUUGUGAACUUUGACAACACCAAGGACCCAUCCAAGUACAACUUGGUCGACCCACCAUACCAGAAUACGGUCACGGUGCCUAAGCUUGGGUGGACCGUGAUGCGCUUCCGUGCUACAAACCCUGGUAAUAAGCCAUUUUAA